GACUUCGUGGUGUAACGGUAGCUCACUUGGCCCGCAUUCGAGAGGUCCAGGUUCGAGUCCCGGCGAGGACA
rnacentral:tRNA from 1 species